CCGGCUCCGGUUCACCCCGUCACCUGGGGACCCGGCGCC
rfam:Pseudonocardia sp. CNS-004 NODE_82_length_32807_cov_89.022_ID_163, whole genome shotgun sequence.